rnacentral:rRNA from 1 species
GAGUUUGAUCGUGGCUCAGAGCGAACGCUGGCGGCAGGCCUAACACAUGCAAGUCGAACGAACUCUUCGGAGUUAGUGGCGGACGGGUGAGUAACACGUGGGAACGUGCCUUUUGGUUCGGAAUAACUCAGGGAAACUUGUGCUAAUACCGAAUGUGCCCUUCGGGGAAGAUUUAUCGCCAUUAGAGCGGCCCGCCGUCUGAUUAGCUAGUUGGUGAGGUAAAGGCUCACCAAGGCGACGAUCAGUAGCUGGUCUGAGAGGAUGAUCAGCCACAUUGGGACUGAGACACGGCCCAAACUCCUACGGGAGGCAGCAGUGGGGAAGUCUUGCGCAAUGGGCGAAAGCCUGACGCAGCCAUGCCGCGUGAAUGAUGAAGGUCUUAGGAUUGUAAAAUUCUUUCACCGGGGACGAUAAUGACGGUACCCGGAGAAGAAGCCCCGGCUAACUUCGUGCCAGCCGCCGC